CUCCGAGAGGAGCGCAGCUCCAACGCGACCCCAGGUCAGGCGGGGCUACCCGCUGAGUUUAAAGCAUA
rnacentral:rRNA from 1 species